GAUGAACGCUGGCGGCGUGCCUAAUACAUGCAAGUCGAGCGAACAGACGAGGAGCUUGCUCCUCUGACGUUAGCGGCGGACGGGUGAGUAACACGUGGAUAACCUACCUAUAAGACUGGGAUAACUUCGGGAAACCGGAGCUAAUACCGGAUAAUAUAUUGAACCGCAUGGUUCAAUAGUGAAAGACGGUUUUGCUGUCACUUAUAGAUGGAUCCGCGCCGCAUUAGCUAGUUGGUAAGGUAACGGCUUACCAAGGCAACGAUGCGUAGCCGACCUGAGAGGGUGAUCGGCCACACGGGAACUGGGACACGGUCCAGACUCCUACGGGAGGCAGCAGUAGGGAAUCGUCCGCAAUGGGCGAAAGCUUGACGGAGCAACGCCGCGUGAGUGAUGAAGGUCUUCGGAUCGUAAAACUCUGUUAUUAGGGAAGAACAAAUGUGUAAGUAACUAUGCACGUCUUGACGGUACCUAAUCAGAAAGCCACGGCUAACUACGUG
rnacentral:rRNA from 1 species